CAAUCUGCAGUAGUCGAGCGAUUGCCUCAGCAUUUGCUCACCCGUCUCCAUUUUGGCAAGCAUUCUUGCGUUACAUCGCCUAAACUAAAGCUUAGUUUCGUGUUUCAAUGGAAUCGCUCAAGAAAUUUCUUGACCGAUUCCUGGCAGAAACUUUCUACAGUGACUGCCAUUUGAAUUGUCAUUUCUUUGCAAUUGCGUUCUGCAAUCGGAGAAAAGACGGUUUCUUGCGCGAUUCAGGCAAGGAAUUUCCCAUGCAUCAAGAUAGGCCGAGAAAUUUCUUCUGAUCUGCAAACAGUCCUUAAACAUAGAAGACCACCAGUACCUCUAUCCCAUGUAAACCUGUCAGUUUCAUGCAGCCAUGGAAUAGCAACCACGGGCAAUCAGCCAGGGGAUCACCAGUACAAAUUCCAGUUCUGGCUUUCAGAGUGAGUCUCCGUGCGUAGAUAAAAGUGCACUUCAAUGGAGAGCUCGUAUACACUUACGUUUGUAGAAGCGAUGAUUUCCUCAGUUAAAAGUAUUCAACAAGCUGAGAGACAGGAAUGUUUGAACUCGGCGGUUGCAUUUUCCAAUUCGUUCUCACAGUGAGAUAUCGUGCAGCGAGUCCUCGCCAUUAUACCAUUAUCGCCGGUAUACCGGUGCGUUGGCAAGCUCAUCAGCUUCGUCCUGCAGUGUGACCUGAGUUCUUCAUUUUGCUCGGCUAUUGCUGCUUUCGAGAACAUAUCUAUCGAGGACCAGAGGUGAAUCUCAGUGCACUGUGCUACACCACCAAAAACAGCUUGGGAGGCAGACUCAAGAAGCCUCUUUUGUGCCACCGAGUUCAAGAGCUUGAUUGUAUUGCAAUGUAAAGACCAAUGCAGUGGCGACCUGUAGCCAGUAGGAUGGAGAAGGCUAGGAGUUGGUAGUGAGAUCGGAGACGGAAGGGUCAUAACGCAGAAGAUAGCUUAGCCACGACGAAUGCUGUUUAAGUAGGCAGUGCGUUUCCCCCGCUCGGAAUCACUGAAGAAGAGUGAGUAGAAAGGAGAGUUAUACCCCAGACAGACAUGUGAUACGAGUGUGAUUCCUGUACAACGGCACGCAGUGUCAAGAAAAUUUCAACAAGACUGACUUGAGCUGAAAGUAUGGCACUCAUUUCAAGCGCAAUUGUACAGUGAUUCUUGUAUCACAUGUGUGUCAUAAGUAUUACGUGUGCCUGGAGGACCCAGGUUGUUUAGAACGGAAAUUUGUACGAAUUUGUCAACAUUGUUCCAAAGGCACCGUCAUCGGUGGCAACGCUCAUCACCGUCUAGGCUAUUAUCGCUCUUUGUAGCAAACUGCUUCUGUCGACCGCAUAUCAACAUUCUGCUGUACAAGCUGUACAAUCUAUUUUGCGGAGAUCGCUAUUGCUGAGCGUUAGCAGGCCUCUCACUGUGAUCACACUAGUUUACAAAAUAAAACGAAAGUCGUGAACUUCUGUCAACGACCAAAAUUUUUGAAGCAUAAUUUAGCGCUGAUUUCGAAA